AUUGAACGCUGGCGGCAUGCCUUACACAUGCAAGUCGAACGGUAACAGGUCUUCGGAUGCUGACGAGUGGCGAACGGGUGAGUAAUACAUCGGAACGUGCCUAGUAGUGGGGGAUAACUACUCGAAAGAGUGGCUAAUACCGCAUGAGAUCUACGGAUGAAAGCAGGGGAUCGCAAGACCUUGUGCUACCAGAGCGGCCGAUGGCAGAUUAGGUAGUUGGUGGGAUAAAAGCUUACCAAGCCGACGAUCUGUAGCUGGUCUGAGAGGACGAUCAUCCACACUGGGACUGAGACACGGCCCAGACUCCUACGGGAGGCAGCAGAGGGGAAUUUUGGACAAUGGGCGCAAGCCUGAUCCAGCAAUGCCGCGUGCAGGAUGAAGGCCUUCGGGUCGUAAACUGCUUUUGUACGGAACGAAAAGCCCCGGGUUAAUACCCUGGGGUCAUGACGGUACCGUAAGAAUAAGCACCGGCUAACUACGUGCCAGCCGCCGCAGUAA
rnacentral:rRNA from 1 species